AGAGUCUGUGGGUCUUGGCACUGGAAGAAUUCACAGAUAUGUAAAAUCGUGGGUCUCUCGGUGCCAAAGUCUACUUCGGCUCU
rnacentral:pre_miRNA from 13 species